rnacentral:rRNA from 1 species
GGUGCCCGUACCGCAAACCGACACAGGUAGGCGAGAAGAGUAUUCUAAGGCGCGCGGAAGAACUCUCGUUAAGGAACUCGGCAAAAUGACCCCGUAACUUCGGGAGAAGGGGUGCCCCGGUAGUGUGAAUAGCACGAGGGGGCCGCAGUGAAAAGGCCCAAGCGACUGUUUAGCAAAAACACAGGUCUGUGCGAAGCCGUAAGGCGAAGUAUACGGGCUGACGCCUGCCCGGUGCUGGAAGGUUAAGGGGAGUGGUUAGGGAGCAAUCCCGAAGCUGUGAACCGAAGCCCCAGUAAACGGCGGCCGUAACUAUAACGGUCCUAAGGUAGCGAAAUUCCUUGUCAGGUAAAUUCUGACCCGCACGAAUGGCGUAACGACUUGGGCGCUGUCUCAACGAGAGAUCCGGUGAAAUUUUAAUACCUGUGAAGAUGCAGGUUACCCGCGACAAGACGGAAAGACCCCAUGGAGCUUUACUGCAGCUUGAUAUUGAAUUUGGGUACGAUCUGUACAGGAUAGGUGGGAGCCU